UACGAAGGGGGCUAGCGUUGCUCGGAAUCACUGGGCGUAAAGCGCACGUAGGCGGAUUGCUAAGUCAGGGGUGAAAUCCUGGAGCUCAACUCCAGAACUGCCCUUGAUACUGGCGGUCUCGAGUCCGGAAGAGGUGAGUGGAACUCCGAGUGUAGAGGUGAAAUUCGUAGGUAUUCGGAAGAACACCAGUGGCGAAGGCGGCUCACUGGUCCGGUACUGACGCUGAGGUGCGAAAGCGUGGGAGGCAACAAGGA
rnacentral:rRNA from 1 species